UCAGCUUGUGGUGAAUGCUGUCAGGCUUGGGACUCACCCUUCAGGGCAAGAGGCUCCCCUCUGGCCCAGGGCAGGCUCAGAAAUCCCAUCCAAGAGCCAAAUCCUGGAAUCAGGGGCUCCAAGACCUUGCUUGGUGAUCUUCCCUACUGUGACCAAGCUUGUACCUAAGCUGCAAUCAAAAUCCUUUUUUAUUAUUAUGCCUCCUUUUCUCAGGCAGAAGGAGUCUCUUCUCAUAUCCACCAUGGCUGUGAAUAUGCUGGGUCACACCUGAAGCUAGCAAAUCUCAGAGUCUCACCCAAGGCCCAUGAUAGGGAAAGGGGAAGGCUUGAUCUGGGAAAGCUGGAGAAAGAAGACUGAAGGAUGGACUGGAUGACAUUGAUGCUAUUGCCUCAUGACAAAAUCUGAUGCAAGAGGAAGGCUACUAAGAAGCCAGCUCUACUUUUGACCAUCAGGUACCAUCUUAGGCUUCAGUUUCCUCAGGAGAAGAGGAUCCUUGGACAAGAGGAUCUGCAAAGUUCCUUCUAACUAAUAUUCUAUGAUUCUUUUUCUGAGUAAAAAGAUGGAUUUAUGACAAAAUUAAAAAAAGAAAAUCAGCUUUUAAAAGGUGUAACUUCUUCAAAGAUUUUUCCAGAAAAGACUGCCAAUAUGAAUUGUGAGAUAAAGCAGAUUGUAGAGCAAAAUUGUUGGACUUUUAAGAACAAAAAUACAUGGAAGCCAAGAGCAAUAAUUAACAUUUUUGAAAUAUUAUGUUACUUUCUCACAUUAAAAAAAUAAUAAUUGAGACUGUGAGGUGGGCAGGAGUACAUUUCCUUACCUAGGGAUUUUAGGUGACUUAAUAUAAGUCGCCUAAAAGUAAGCCAGUAGACCCAAGAAUCGUACCUUCAAAUUGCAGGACCCAUAGAGAACAAUCCAGGUAUAAAUUUAGCCGGGGAAGGGUCAGAUUAAUACUGGACUUCUGGUGUCACAUUGCUCAGCUUCAAAGCACAAUUUACAUAUUUUCAUUGACUUACUUUUGCUAUUUCUGUAUAAUGAACUCUAGAAAUAUUUGGUUACUAUCUCCAGAAUUUGGAAUUUUCAAUGGACUGUAAUAAGAAACAAAAAAGAUCAGAUAAGGGGAAAAAGAUCUGUUAUGUCCUAAAUAACAGUGAUAACAUGAACACAAUCUAUGCUAUAAAAAGCUAUGAGCUAAGCUCACAAAACAUGUGGACAAAUAUGAGCUAGUGAAAGAAAAUGACCUAAUGGAAAGAUGUCAGAAAGUGGCAGAACAAGUUCUAAGAAAAUUGGACAAUUUCCUCAAUCUGACAUGAUUUAAGUGCAAGGAGAACUUGAAUAGCAUGAAUUUGGCCUUGGGCAGAAAUAUGUACCCCCAAGAGAGGCAGCUCCCUCAGCAUUGCUUCUAGACAUCGAAUUUGGCAUGAAGAGAAUGUUAGCUAGUCCAGGACACAUUCUAGACAGGAUAGGCUCUAAACAUUUCGAAAAAGCCUCUACUCAUUGUAAAAAAAAUAUGCUUAAUAUAUAUAUAAUUAAAAGGAAGAAAGUAAAAAUCUUCGUAGUAUUGCAUCUUAACAUUUCGGUGUAUUGCUUUCCAGUGAUGAAAGAAUGAACCUUAAAGGGGAGGAGGACUAACAAUUCUUCAGGUGAGAAGAGGGAAGAAAGUUAGGAUGAAUCUGGAAGUGAGAUUUCAAGAUGGGGCAAGAAGAACUUCUGUUCACCUGUAAAAUAGAAAAAAAGAUAUUUUCAGUCUCACCAUUAUUUUCCAAGUGAGUUUUUUUUUUUCCUAUUACUAAACUGUACAAGGGCAGGAGCUGUGCCAUUUUAGUCUGUGAUCCUCCAAAGACUGUUAUAAUGGCUCAGCAGACACUCAAUAAAUAUUUGUUGAAUAAUCAGAGGCAAGUAAGACAUAAUAAACACAAAAACGUAGCAAAGCAAAUGCCAGGAGGAACUGGAGUUUAGUAGAAUAUUUAAUGAAAGUGCAAAAGACUUGCAAAAGUGCUUGGGAAUUAGGGAAGGAUAAAGAGGGUGUGACCCAAGCCUGGGGUUGCAAAUGACAUAUAGACAGCUUGACAUUUCUUCUCCCUUAUAAUUCAUUAAUCUCCAACAGGGAUCAUUUUCUAAAAAAAAAAUAUUGUUAUAGAUUCAAAGGGUAAAGUGGAAGUUUGUUACAUGGAUAGAUGACAAUGUAGUGGUUGGGUUUGGGCUUCUAUUGUACCCAUCACCCGAAUAGUGAAUAUUGUACCCAAAUAG
rnacentral:lncRNA from 1 species